rnacentral:rRNA from 1 species
UACGUAGGGUGCGAGCGUUAAUCGGAAUUACUGGGCGUAAAGUGUGCGCAGGCGGCCGAGCAAGUCGAGUGUGAAAGCCCCGAGCUUAACUUGGGAACUGCGCUCGAAACUACUUGGCUAGAGUGUGGCAGAGGGAGGUGGAAUUCCAGGUGUAGCGGUGAAAUGCGUAGAUAUCUGGAGGAAUACCGGUGGCGAAGGCGGCAUCCUGGACCGACAUUGACGCUGAUGAGCGAAAGCUAGGGGAGCAAACGGG